GUUUAAGAUAUAUAUUUCAUUUAUUAUUUUUAAUUUUACCGGAAGUAAGCAUGGCUUUGAAGUACAUUUCUAAGGAAAUUAAGGAUCACCAGCUUAUGGAUUAUUAACUUAGUGCCCCACUCCAUUUAAGGGGCUCUUGCCCUUUUGGCCCCUGAGCAAAUAUGCCGAAGAGAGAGUGGAAAACUUUAACUACACACUCACUGGCAGGCGGAGAAAGUCUAGCAGAAGGGCAAAUAAAAGUAACUGAAAAAUUUAGCGCUAUGUCAACACAUUCCAACAGGCAGCCGGAAAAGUCCUUGUGCUAGGCCAUCUUCCCUUUCUCCCCCGAAACGAGCAGCCAUCCUCACAAAAGGACAAUGCAGCUCGAGUGUGCGAGCCGAAAAAAGCGAAGUGGAAGCUCACAUGUGCUCAAAGAAACGCCAAGUGCUUGUACUGCUCAAUGGACCAAGGGGAGAUUUUAAUAAGUAGCCUUAGCUUGCAGUCUGCGGAAACUUUCCUUGUACGUUCGCCACCGCAUACAAAUUAUUUUGGCCAAAACUUCGGCACCGAGUGAAAAGUAUUUUAAGAACUUUGAAAACCCCACUCCAUUAGGCGGCGAUUGUCUUGUGUGAGCCGAGCAAGCUGCCGGAUAAAUUAAGACGCAACCAGGGCCACAAAUCAUUGAAUUAAACCGCAGUGCGACAGGAUUUCUGGAGGAUCCCCCUCGGAGGACGAGGAGGUGGCGCCCACGGGCUUAGCUGCCUCUGCCAUCCAAUCCGCCAUCGAUUGGCCCCUAAAGGCGACACAUGUGGCAGGCAUCCUCCGAAAGUCCCUAUCUCAACUUCCUUAUUUAUC